AUUGAACGCUGGCGGCACGCCUAACACAUGCAAGUCGAGCGGCAGCGAGACUAGUAGCAAUACUAGUUGUCGGCGAGCGGCGGACGGGUGAGUAACACGUAGGAAUCUGCCCUUAAGCGGGGGAUAACCAAGGGAAACUUUGGCUAAUACCGCAUAAUCUCGAGAGAGCAUAGCUGCCCGCAAGGGUGGCACUUGAGGAGGAGCCUGCGUCCGAUUAGCUAGUUGGUGGGGUAAUGGCCUACCAAGGCGAUGAUCGGUAACUGGUCUGAGAGGACGAGCAGACACACUGGGACUGAGAGACGGCCCAGACUCCUACGGGAGGCAGCAGUGGGGAAUAUUGGACAAUGGGGGCAACCCUGAUCCAGCGAUGCCGAGUGAGUGAAGAAGGCCUUCGGGUCGUAAAGCUCUUUAGGUUGGGAAGAAGUGUAUUGGCUGAAUAAUCCAGUACAUUGACGGUACCGACAGAAUAAGCACCGGCAAACUCUGUGCCAGCAGCCGCCGCAGUAA
rnacentral:rRNA from 1 species